rnacentral:rRNA from 1 species
GAUCAUGGCUCAGGAUGAACGCUGGCGGCGUGCCUAACACAUGCAAGUCGAACGAGGCUGAUUAGAAUGAGAUUUCGGUUGAUUUCUAUGAAAGUCGAGUGGCGGACGGGUGAGUAACACGUGGGUAACCUGCCUUACAGAGGGGGAUAACAGUUUGAAAAGACUGCUAAUACCGCAUAAGCACACAGUACCGCAUGGUACGGGGUGAAAAGAUUUAUCGCUGUAAGAUGGACCCGCGU